rnacentral:lncRNA from 1 species
GUUCUGAGGACGGUCCCUGGGGAGCAAGUGGUAGGUUUCGAGGCGCCCGCUUCCCCUCUGAUUCCUGCAGUAACUGAGAGAGAGUGUGCCAGAAAUGGCUUUGCUGCCGAAUGCAUUAUCUUGCCAUUUUCGUGUCCCAAUACUGAACAAACGAUCGCCUGAUCGAUCGAAAUAGGAGGGAAAGGUAGAGUGGAAAUUGAUUUCUUGCAGAGACUGAGGCGCUGAAUGAUAGAGGGAAUAAACAUUUGCCCUGGAUAAAAAUGUUCUUGG